rnacentral:guide_RNA from 1 species
ACUGGGUAAUCAUGGAUUUAUGUAGUGAGAUAAAGUAGU